GACGAACGCUGGCGGCGUGCUUAACACAUGCAAGUCGAACGGAAAGGCCCUGCUUUUGUGGGGUGCUCGAGUGGCGAACGGGUGAGUAACACGCGAGUAACCUGCCCUUGACUUUGGGAUAACUUCAGGAAACUGGGGCUAAUACCGGAUAGGAGCUCCUGCUGCAUGGUGGGGGUUGGAAAGUUUCGGCGGUUGGGGAUGGACUCGCGGCUUAUCAGCUUGUUGGUGGGGUAGUGGCUUACCAAGGCUUUGACGGGUAGCCGGCCUGAGAGGGUGAACGGCCACAUUGGGCCUGAGAUACGGACCAGACUCGUAUGGGAGGCAGCAGUGGGGAAUAUUGCACAAUGGGGGGAAGCCUGAUGCAGCAACGCCGCGUGCGGGAUGACGGCCUUCGGGUUGUAAACCGCUUUCGCCUGUGACGAAGCGUGAGUGACGGUAAUGGGUAAAGAAGCACCGGCUAACUACGUG
rnacentral:rRNA from 1 species